AAGGCGAACGAGGUGAACUGAAACAUCUUAGUAACCUCAGGAAAAGAAAACAAUAGUGAUUUUCUGAGUAGCGGCGAGCGAAAAGGAAAUAGCCUAAACCGAGUAUAUGUCAAGCCCGAAAGCGUUGUAUGCUCGGGGUUACGGGGUUUAACUGGACAUUUUUUCGGGACUGUCGGAGAGUUAUAAAUUUGGGAGAUAACUGAAGCUGCUGGAAAGCCGCUCCAUAGAAGGUGAUAGGCCUGUAAGUGAAAUCUUUCAAACUCUCUGAGUUAAAUUCCCAAGUACUGCGGGACACGAGAAAUCCUGUGGGAAUUUGUGAGGACCAUCUCAUAAGGCUAA
rnacentral:rRNA from 1 species